GGGGCCGGCACCGAGCGCGGCGUGGACGGACGGACGGACGGACGGCACCGCCGGGCUCGGCCCGGACACUCGAGCAAGUAUCAUGAGAAGCUCAUCCUUUGGCCACAAUUCCGUGAAAACUCUGCUGAGCUCACUGAAGAUGCCAUGAAGAGGUGGAAAAUUGAAAUUGUGCUAUCUGUUCAUCAUGUACUGUGUUCUCUCCAGUCUGCAGUGUGUAUGAAUAGAGACACCUCUG